CAGUCGAACGGCAGCACAGGGAGCUUGCUCCCGGGUGGCGAGUGGCGCACGGGUGAGUAAUACAUCGGAACGUGUCCUGUUGUGGGGGAUAACUGCUCGAAAGGGUGGCUAAUACCGCAUGAGACCUGAGGGUGAAAGCGGGGGAUCGCAAGACCUCGCGCAAUUGGAGCGGCCGAUGCCCGAUUAGCUAGUUGGUGAGGUAAAGGCUCACCAAGGCGACGAUCGGUAGCUGGUCUGAGAGGACGACCAGCCACACUGGGACUGAGACACGGCCCAGACUCCUACGGGAGGCAGCAGUGGGGAAUUUUGGACAAUGGGGGCAACCCUGAUCCAGCCAUGCCGCGUGCAGGAUGAAGGCCUUCGGGUUGUAAACUGCUUUUGUCAGGGACGAAAAGGACCGUGUUAAUACCAUGGUCUGCUGACGGUACCUGAAGAAUAAGCACCGGCUAACUACGUGCCAGCAGCCGCGGUAAUACGUAGGGUGCAAGCGUUAAUCGGAAUUACUGGGCGUAAAGCGUGCGCAGGCGGUUCUGUAAGACAGAUGUGAAAUCCCCGGGCUCAACCUGGGAAUUGCAUUUGUGACUG
rnacentral:rRNA from 1 species